GCUGCACGUUGCUGCCUUGCCGGAGUAGUGGGUCUAGCCAUGGGAUUGGCAGCUGGUUGAUUAGCUUAUGGCAUAGCGGCUCGCAGCACAUGGACAAAGUCCUCAAAAGGUUGGGUUGAGGAUCCGUAUUGCUCAUAACUGUACUGGUCUACAAGGCAGAAACAAGGAUUCAAUGGGCAGGUAUGCAGGGAGAUCGACAGGCAGGCAGAUGAGACCAGUGUUAAGUAGGUAACCUUGAAACCAGCCAAUGAGAGAUUAAACAGUGUGAGUAUUUGAAGGAAGAAGGUAAGUGGCGAAAGGUGAUGGUGAUUGUGAUUUGGUGAAUGAGGCUGGUUGGGCUGGUGAGGUAAGGGACUGCGUGUCACUUGUAUAAAUAUCUAUUACAAAUGAGAUUUAAAUGCUGUUAUGUUCUAAAGAAAA